AUUGAACGCUGGCGGCAGGCCUAACACAUGCAAGUCGAACGAGUGGCGGACGGGUGCGUAAUGUCUGGGAAACUGCCCGAUGGAGGGGGAUAACUACUGGAAACGGUAGCUAAUACCGCAUACCAUCGGAUGUGCCCAGAUGGGAUUAGCGAGUAGGUUGGGUAACGACUCACCUAGGAGACGAUCCCUAGCUGGUCUGAGAGGAUGCCAAGCCACACUGGAACUGAGACACGGUCCAGACUCCGACGGGAGGCAGCAGUGGGGAAUAUUGCACAAUGGGCGAAAGCCUUAUGCAGCCAUGCCGCGUGUAGGAAGAAGGCCUUCGGGUUGUAAAGUACUUUCAGCGAGGAGGCGUUACUCGCAGAAGAAGCACCGGCUAACUCCGUGUCAGCAGCCGCGGUAAUUC
rnacentral:rRNA from 1 species